AUCUGUAAGACUUGUCUAACUAUGUUCAAAGAUUGGAUAAUUGAAUCUAAUCGAUAUAUUGCUGGCUGGGCAGCAUAACUUCAAGUUUCUGCAUAGAACUGCUUUCAUUAAGGCUUUUCUAAUGAUGUCCUAAGAAGGAUAAAUUCAAUGAUCUGCUUAUUGAUGGGGAUAAAACUCAAUGAUCUGCUUAUUUGAUCGAGAUAAAUUCAAUGAUCUGCUUAUUUGAUGGAGAUAAAUUCAAUGAUCUGCUUAUCGAUUUGGAUAAAUUCAAUGAUCUGCUUAUUUGAUGGGGAUAAAACUCAAUGAUCUGCUUAUUUGAUGGGGAUAAAACUCAAUGAUCUGCUUAUUUAUGGGGAUAAAACUCAAUGAUCUGCUUAUUUGAUGGAGAUAAAUUCAAUGAUCUGCUUAUUUAUGGGGAUAAAACUCAAUGAUCUGCUUAUUUGAUGGAGAUAAAUUCAAUGAUCUGCUUAUUGAUUUGGAUAAAACUCAAUGAUCUGCUUAUUUGAUGGAGAUAAAUUCAAUGAUCUGCUUAUUUAUGGGGAUAAAACUCAAUGAUCUGCUUUAAAACUCAAUGAUCUGCUUAUUGACGGAGAUAAAUUCGAUGAUCUGCUUAUUGACGGGGAUAAAUUCAAUGAUCUGCUUAUUGACGGAGAUAAAACUCAAUGAUCUGCUUAUUGAUGGAGAUAAACUCAAUGAUCUGCUAUUCUGCUUAUUAAUGGAGAUAAAUUGUCUUUUAUAAGACUUGUCUAAUGAAUUCAGAUUGGGGAAUUCAGUUGUAUGGAUGAAAAAGCAUAAAAACAUGUAGUUAAUCCUUUCUGCCUAGCUCUUGAAGCUAUUCCUGUUAGCGAAGGCACAUCAUUGUGCAACGCUUUAUGGGUCAGGCUCGAGCAAGGCACUAAAGAGAAAGAGAGAGAUGACGCACUAAAGGCAAAUCAAUAUACAUCUUACUGAGAAAUGAUAUUCAUUGGGACAUCAUGUUCUAAUUUUCAAUAUUCUGCAUAAAAAAAAUCUUAACUUGCAGACUGUAUCUUUCCCUCUUUUAAUCAGGUAAGUGUCUCUUUCGUCUUUUAAAACAAGGUAUAAUCUUCAUAAUAUUUUUCCUUGAUGGAUUUUGUAGUUCGUUAAUUGAUUACAUCUUUUGAUCACGUAGUCUUUUAUAACUAUUUGACUAUGAGUGAUUAUUUAUCUAUUUUUUUUAGCUUCAGAAGACCAAGAACUGGAGUGUGUAUACGUGAUCGUUCUCAGGUUCAACUUCUCUCCCUCGGUUUGAAAUAUUAUAGUUUGAAUACUUAUAGUAGUAGCAUUUUGGUAAACUCUGGUGCACAAGAAGAUUAGAUGAAUGAACAGCAACUUUUGGAGUGUCUCCAAAAGAAAGCUUUGGUUUCUCAGGAACUAAAGGGUUAUUAUCUCUCCAAGUCCACGCGAUUCUAAACAUUUGACUUUGCCAUCCACGCGAUUCUUCAAUGAUUUCUUUUUGUCUUACUAUACUCAUUUAUGGUUUAUAUCAAACUUGCAGGAACUAAAGGGUUAUUAUCUCUCCAAGUCCACGCGAUUCUAAACAUUUGACUUUGCCAUCCAUUUGUGGUCUAAAACCUCAUUCUCUUCUUUGAAACCAAAGAGGGCAUGAUUGGAGCUUUUGUGGCGUGCGUCGUCUUCAACACUCUUAUUUCCAAGUAAGUAACUUUCUAAGUUUACUUGAGACAUAUAUGCAUGAACGUUUUUAGAUAUUUUGGUAUUGUUGGCUUUGGUUUAUUUCUCCUUUGGCUGUGUUUUUUUUUCUAGGUGGAUUAAUGUUUCCUUUAGAAUACCAAACCUCAAUUAAAGCACCCACAUCUUUAGAGCACACUGAUACAAAUAAUCGCAUAACACGAACACAUACUAAACGUAAACAUACACACAAAAGUAACUUUUGUGCUCACACUAAUACAAACAUAAAUGCAUUACACGGACACAUACUCUAAACGUAAACAUAACUUUUGUGCUCACACAUGAACUUACUAACUUAUUUUAAUGCAACACAAUUGGAAAUGCAAUUGUUUAUGUUGUAUGAUGAACGAGUGCUAAACAGAAGUUUAUGAAAUUACUUACUAACCCUCUGUUUAUAUAAGAGGCUUAUGUACAGUUUUUCAUUAGUCUUAAAAGUCUCGGUACGACUUCAUUUUUCAAUUUGUGACAUGGAAUCAGAGCCGUGAAAAAGCUCUCUUUCAUUCACACAUUUUCUCUUUGAUUCCUUGGAACUUUUCCAAGAAUCACUCUCUAUUCUAUAAUCAUAU